rnacentral:rRNA from 1 species
UACGUAGGGUGCGAGCGUUGUCCGGAAUUAUUGGGCGUAAAGAGCUUGUAGGCGGUCUGUCGCGUCUGCUGUGAAAAUCCGGGGCUCAACCCCGGACUUGCAGUGGGUACGGGCAGACUAGAGUGUGGUAGGGGAGACUGGAAUUCCUGGUGUAGCGGUGAAAUGCGCAGAUAUCAGGAGGAACACCGAUGGCGAAGGCAGGUCUCUGGGCCACUACUGACGCUGAG